rnacentral:rRNA from 1 species
UUAUGUACAUGCCUACAAUGUUAAUGCAAUGGAUCCCAUUAGAACUCCAUAUUUAAGUGUGCUUGGGAUAGAGUAGUACUGGGAUGGGUGACCUUCCCAGGAAGUCCUAGUGUUUUACAUGCC